GCUACAGCCCGACCUAGCCCUCCACCUCCUCCUUCCGGCCGCCGCCAUUAGGCAGGUGUAAUCUUCCGUCAGAUUCGGUCCUGAUUUUGGCGUGUGUGUUUGGCUGCAGCUUCUUGAUGAAGCUGAUUGAUCUGAAGAAUGACACCACCAUCCAUAGCACCAUCGCUGGGCAGGAAGCGGCACAAGUGUUGCUGAGAGGAGCUAGCAGGCAUGGAGGAGACAAGGCGCUUCGUGGCGACCACCUUCACCCUAAUUUUGCAGGAAGGCAGGGUGGGGCAUUGACCAACAUCGGUCUCGGCGUUGAAUAGUCGCUGCCCUCGUACUGAAAUAUGAAAUAGCGUCUCCACCUCAAGAAGUCAUCCCCUGAUUUUCAUUCAUUGGUGAGGAUGCCGCCUAGGAGAGGGAAAGAAAAUUAGGGAUCAUCUGUACCAGAGAAGGGUUUUUAUUUACUUUUUGCAUAUAAAGUGGAAUGAUACAAUAAGCAAAGAUUUUCGUGAAAAAAUAAAACAGCAUGUGGUUCAAUACCAAUAUUUUGUAAGAUCAUGGGGUUAUGUCAGUCUUCCUAUUAUGCCCAUGACUUUGUUUAUUUUGCAGAUAGAUGGUGCCCCGACUUAUU